rnacentral:misc_RNA from 1 species
GAUGAAGAACGUAGCGAAAUGCGAUACGUAAUGUGAAUUGCAAAUUCAGUGAAUCAUCGAGUCUUUGAACGCACAUUGCGCCCCCUGGUAUUCCGGGGGGCAUGCCUGUCCGAGCGUCAUUGCUGCCCUCAAGCACGGCUUGUGUGUUGGGCCCCGUCCUCCGAUCCCGGGGGACGGCCCGAAAGGCAGCGGCGGCACCGCGUCCGGUCCUCGAGCGUAUGGGGCUUUGUCACCCGCUCUGUAGGCCCGGCCGGCGCUUGCCGAUCAACCCAAAUUUUUUAUCCAGGUUGACCUCGGAUCAGGUAGGGAUACCCGCUGAACUUAAGCAUAUCAAUAAGCGGAGGA